rnacentral:rRNA from 1 species
AGUGAACGCUGGCGGUAGGCCUAACACAUGCAAGUCGAACGGCAGCACAGUAAGAGCUUGCUCUUACGGGUGGCGAGUGGAGGACGGGUGAGGAAUACAUCGGAAUCUAAUUUUUCGUGGGGGAUAACGUAGGGAAACUUACGCUAAUACCGCAUACGACCUACGGGUGAAAGCAGGGGAUCUUCGGACCUUGCGCGAUUGAAUGAGCCGAUGUCGGAUUAGCUAGUUGGCGGGGUAAAGGCCCACAAAGCCGCCGAUCCGUAGCUGGUCUGGGAGGAUGAUCAGCCACACUGGAACUGAGACACAGUCCAGACUCCUACGGGAGGCAGCAGUGGGGAAUAUUGGACAAUGGGCGCAAGCCUGAUCCAGCCAUACCGCGUGGGUGAAGAAGGCCUUCUGGUUGUAAAGCCCUUUUGUUGGGAAAGAAACGCAGCAGGUUAAUACCCCGCUGUUCUGACGGUACCCAAAGAAUAAGCACCGGCUAACUUCGUG